UGAGGAAUAUUGGACAAUGGGUGAGAGCCUGAUCCAGCCAUCCCGCGUGAAGGACGACGGCCCUAUGGGUUGUAAACUUCUUUUGUAUAGGGAUAAACCUUUCCACGUGUGGAAAGCUGAAGGUACUAUACGAAUAAGCACCGGCUAACUCCGUGCCAGCAGCCGCGGUAAUACGGAGGGUGCAAGCGUUAUCCGGAUUUAUUGGGUUUAAAGGGUCCGUAGGCGGAUCUGUAAGUCAGUGGUGAAAUCUCAUAGCUUAACUAUGAAACUGCCAUUGAUACUGCAGGUCUUGAGUAAAGUAGAAGUGGCUGGAAUAAGUAGUGUAGCGGUGAAAUGCAUAGAUAUUACUUAGAACACCAAUUGCGAAGGCAGGUCACUAUGUUUUAACUGACGCUGAUGGACGAAAGCGUGGGGAGCGAAC
rnacentral:rRNA from 1 species